CAGGCCUAACACAUGCAAGUCGAACGAUGCUUUCGGGCAUAGUGGCGCACGGGUGCGUAACGCGUGGGAAUCUGCCCUUGGGUUCGGAAUAACCGUUAGAAAUGACGGCUAAUACCGGAUGAUGACGUAAGUCCAAAGAUUUAUCGCCCGAGGAUGAGCCCGCGUAGGAUUAGCUAGUUGGUGGGGUAAAGGCCUACCAAGGCGACGAUCCUUAGCUGGUCUGAGAGGAUGAUCAGCCACACUGGGACUGAGACACGGCCCAGACUCCUACGGGAGGCAGCAGUGGGGAAUAUUGGACAAUGGGCGCAAGCCUGAUCCAGCAAUGCCGCGUGAGUGAUGAAGGCCUUAGGGUUGUAAAGCUCUUUUACCCGGGAUGAUAAUGACAGUACCGGGAGAAUAAGCUCCGGCUAACUCCGUGCCAGCAGCCGCGGUAAU
rnacentral:rRNA from 1 species